rnacentral:rRNA from 1 species
CCGCGAAACUGCGAAUGGCUCAUUAUAUAAGUUAUCGUUUAUCUGAUAAUACUUUACUACUUGGAUAACCGUGGUAAUUCUAGAGCUAAUACAUGCUGAAAAUCCCGACUUCGGAAGGGAUGUGUUUUUUAGAUUAAAAACCAAUGCCCCUCGGGGCUCUCUGGUGAGUCAUGAUAACUAGUCGAAUCGACAGGCCUUGUGCCGGCGAUGGCUCAUUCAAAUUUCUUCCCUAUCAACUUUCGAUGUUUGGGUAUUGGCCAAACAUGGUGGCAACGGGUAACGGAGGGUUAGGGCUGACCCCGGAGAAGGAGCCUGAGAAACGGCUACUACAUCCAAGGUAAGGCAGCAGGCGCGCAAAUUACCCAAUCCCGACACGGGGAGGUAGUGACAAUAAAUACUGAUACAGGGCUCUUUUGGGUCUUGUAAUCGGAAUGAGUACAAUUUAAAUCCCGUAACGAGGAACAAUUGGAGGGCAAGUCUGGUGCCAGCAGCCGCGGUAAUUCCAGCUCCAAUAGCGUAUAUUAAAGUUGUUGUGGUUAAAAAGCUCGUAGUUGAACCUUGGGCCUGGCUGGCCGGUCCGCCUCACCGCGUGCACUGGUGCGGCCGGGCCUUUCCCUCUGCGGAACCCCAUGCCCUUCACUGGGUGUGGCGGGGAAACAGGACUUUUACUUUGAAAUUAUUAGAGUGCUGAAGGCAGGCCUAUGCUCGAAUACAUUAGCAUUG